CCCGCCCGCGCGCGCCGGCGCCCCCUCCCCGCCACGUGACCGGCGGCUCAGCACGACCCGCGAUUUGCACCCCCGCUACGCGGCGCGGACGGAGCCGCAGCGCUCCUCUGCGGAGCUCGCCCCUCAGGUCCUCAGUCCAAGGAGCUCGCGGUGACUUACACGCGUGCUGGACGCCGGCGCCGGCCUACCCCUCAGUCUCUGGCAGAGAAAAGGGAAAAGCCGCGAAGGACGGAUGGGGCGUACCCCCGGGGUCCUGACUCAGAGCCUGCCCUGUGGUAUUUGGUGGAUGGUGGUGGUUAAACACAGGAACCGGGAAAGAAGAGUGGCUCAGAGGGUGGCGACCGCCGUCUCUAGGGGGAAGAGGCUGAUAGACUGGAUGAUGCAUGGGUAAUCUGCUGUUGGCAAGCUUGUUAAGUGAGCAAAACUUCUGAAGAUUUUAAGGUGUGACCACAUCAUGCAUGAAACAGCCCAGACGUGCUUCAACCAUAACAUGGGAGUACAUGAUUCAGACUAUGUCGGCAACAUAGCUCACUUAUGGAAUCCAGUGGAAUGAGAGACAGAUGGACUCCAAGAGUCAUUGGGGAGAACUCUUCAUCACUGCAGCCACGCACCUAAACCUAAACAGGUUUUUCUGCCAAGAAUCUAGGGAAAUCCCAUCCCAUCUCCCCAAAUUUACAGAUAACAUCACUAAGGUUUUUUUUACCUGGCAAGUACUAUAAAGCUGAGAUUGUGCUCACUUUGGUAGCACAUAUACUAAAGAAAAGCUGAGAUUUUUUUUUAACGUUUAUUUAUUUUGAGAGAGAGAGAGAGAGUGGGGAAGGUCCAGAGAAAGAGAGAGAGAGACUCCCAAGCAGGCUCUGCCA